CAGCCUGCAAAAGGAAGAGCUGUGAGAUGGAGAGGCGAUUCUUCCACCCACGAGGUGGAUGUAACAAACCACUGCACGCCAACUUCCUCCCAGCCCAAUAAAGGAAGCUGGUGAAAGCAUCUGAGCCAACAGCAGCUGGCUGCAGGAGAAGCCCCGAGAAGCUCCCAGCACUAGAGAGCCUGUAUGGCCAUGUGGCUCUGGCUCUUCUGCAGAGAACCAUGAAACCAGCAAAAUGAAAACCAGGUUUACACUGAUGCCAUCCGCCUACAGGAAGGGAUGAUCUCCAGUGUGGAAGUAUCGGGGUUUUGGAAACCCCCUGAAUCACAAGGAAAUCACACCAUCUCCUGUCAACAAUUAUAGUGCAUGAAAAUGCAGAUUUCAAUUGCUUGGGACUCCAAAGAGCCACUACUUUCUCUUCAGCUUUCUUCCUAACUGGGGCACAGAAGGAGGCAGAUUUCAGGAGAGCUUAGUGUGCUUUUCCUUGGAGCAUCCUGCCCUAGCUGGAAAUGUGGCUAGUCCUGGUUAGUGGCUUUGAAGUGGGCUGUCCAGAGGUGAGGUGAAUCCCGGCCUCACAGAAGGGGGCCUGGAGCUACUAGCUGAAAAAUUGCAGGAUUAAGAGCACAUGGAUGAUGGAGACAUCUAGAGGCGACUGUGGAAACCACCCGCAUGAGCGCUGUUCACCAUUGCCAAGGUAUGGGAAACGUCCAGAUGUCUCUCAACGGACAAACGGAUCAAGAAAAUGUGAGGUAUGAACUUUAUAUCUAUAGAUUCAUCUAUUGAGCAUAUCUAAAUUUGUAUCUUACAUAUAUAUUGUGGGGAACACAGGUAGCAAAGAUG